UGGGGGAUAUUGCACAAUGGGCGAAAGCCUGAUGCAGCGACGCCGCGUGGGGGAUGAAGGCCUUCGGGUUGUAAACUUCUUUUGCUCUGAACAAGGCAUGCCUUUGGGGUGUGUUGAGUGUAGGGGUUGAUUAGCGCCGGCUAACUACGUGCCAGCAGCCGCGGUAAUACGUAGGGCGCGAGCGUUGUCCGGAAUUAUUGGGCGUAAAGGGCUUGUAGGUGGCUGGUUGCGUCUGUCGUGAAAGCUCAUGGCUUAACUGUGGGUUUGCGGUGGGUACGGUGUGGCUUGAGUGCAGUAGGGGAGGCUGGGAUUCCUGGUGUAGCGGUGGAAUGCGCAAAUAUCAGGAGGAAUACCGGUGGCGAGGGCGGGUAUCUGGGCUGUUACUGACGCUGAGGAGCGAAGGCGUGGGGAGCGAACAGG
rnacentral:rRNA from 1 species